rnacentral:lncRNA from 1 species
AAUUAUUCAAACCCAGGCUCUGUGGCAGAGGCAGGGAGGACAAUGCCACGUAAACCACAGAACACCCCACAGGGAGCAAACAUGAGGCAGUGAUUAUUGCAUCAUACCAUCCAGACUUACUCAACUGUGAUAUUUGAGAAGGCUGGGCCACCUGGAGUACGUUUAGCGGCAGAACCCAGGAGAGGUGGCUACCAGCCCAACACAUAUUGACAUCUGUGGUGAGAGACCCAGGCCUCCGAGCAGAAUCUCCAAGGAACAGCCUGCUCUUGAAGGAUUUGGAUAAAGGUUGUGUGCCUCCCUCUUACCUUCAGCUGGGAUGAAAGCAGAAACAGCCACUCUUCAGAGAAGAAAAGAAAGAUUUGAUCUUACUUCAAAGUCUAUCCACUGUUCUACACG